UCCCCCGUCGUCUAACGGCAGGACUGCCGACUUUGGAUCGGCCAACGAAGGUUCGAAUCCUUCCGGGGGAG
rnacentral:tRNA from 1 species